rnacentral:rRNA from 1 species
GGAGUUAGCCGGUGCUUCUUCUGCGAGUAACGUCACAGAUGUAAGGUAUUAACUUACACCCUUUCCUCCUCGCUGAAAGUGCUUUACAACCCGAAGGCCUUCUUCACACACGCGGCAUGGCUGCAUCAGGGUUUCCCCCAUUGUGCAAUAUUCCCCACUGCUGCCUCCCGUAGGAGUCUGGGCCGUGUCUCAGUCCCAGUGUGGCUGAUCAUCCUCUCAGACCAGCUAGGGAUCGUCGCCUAGGUGAGCCUUUACCUCACCUACUAGCUAAUCCCACCUGGGCUUAUCCAUCAGCGAAAGGCCCGAAGGUCCCCUGCUUUCCCCCGUAGGGCGUAUGCGGUAUUAGCAGUCGUUUCCAACUGUUAUCCCCCACAAAUGGGCAAAUUCCCAGGCAUUACUCACCCGUCCGCCGCUCGUCAUCUUCAAAAGCAAGCUUUUGAAAUGUUACCGCUCGACUUGCAUGUGUUAGGCCUGCCGCCACGCGUUCAUACUGAGCCAUAAUACAACUACUGA